AUGCCGCCGGCGCCCGCGGGAACCCGGCACAGCCGCGCACGUCGCGCCAUGGGAGCGUCUCACGGGAAGAAGGUAACAAGGGGGCCGUUGCACGCGCCGCUGCGGAGCGGCAGCGAGGGCGCCGGGCUCACGUGCUGCUCGCCUGGCCCUCCGCGUGCUAAGCCGGCUCGUCGCGCAGCCAGGGAUUACAGGGCAGGGACGCGCUCGCGGACGCAGGUGUCGGAUGUUGUCGGUGAGAUUAAGGAACGCCGCCCGGGCGGAGGGGCCCCGCCGGGGGUGGCAAAGGGUUGGGGUGGGAAAGGCAGGGUUUGGCUUUCUGCUGCGGCCGGGCCGCGCGCGACGGCGGCGGAUGCGGGGAGCAAGGACGGGGCUGCCGGGACACUGUCGGUGCUGAGCCCGCAGCCCGGCCACCGUCUCCGUCCCCCCCAUCGCCGCAUUCCCGCUUCCGACUGGCUCGGGCGGAGGGUGAGCGAGUUCCCCUGUGGCUCCGGCCUCUUCCCUUCCGGCACGCGCUCCGGCACAAAUUGCAUCUCUGGCCAAUCUCCACCGCGAGAAACACCCCAGAGGUCCCAGCUAAGGGAAUCGUCCCCCCGCUCGGGCACCUCCCUCCACCGCGAGCUGCCUGCCCGCGUCCCAGGCCCUGGGAAGCGCCCCAUAAUUCCCCCAAGCAUUCCCGGGCCUGGGAAUCGCUGCCAGCUCCCUCCCCAGGGAGGCCCUGCGGUGCUCGAGGGCUUCUCCCUCUCCCCCAAACCCCCCAAGGAGCACGAGCCCUCAUGCAGCCCCAGAAGGAAACGGUGCAUUAAGGAGUCAGAGCCGUGGAGAGAGGCUAUAGAUAGUUACACCUGGGAGUUAGACGUCAUUUUGCUUUUAUGCCCGAUGAAAUCAGUGCCUGGGGAUAACAUCACCUCUGUACGGUGGCGCUGCCCUGAACGGACACUAGUGUCUUCUGCACCUCGUCCCCCCACUCUUUCCUUGGCAGAACGGCACUUGUGCACCACGCUAGGUCAGGGAAAACUGAUGGCUCUUGCUGUUCAAGUUUGA
rnacentral:lncRNA from 1 species